UAAAGCAAGAAAGGGCGUAUGGGGAAUGCCUAGGCACACUCCGGCGAAGAAGGACGCAGCAAACAGCGAAAUGCGACGGUGAGCGGUAAGCACGUGAAGAGCCGUCGAUAUCCGAAUGGGGGAACCCACACGGAGUCAUAUCCGUGUAUCACAUGUCGAAUACAUAGACAUGAUGAGGCGAGACGCAGGGAACUGAAACAUCUAAGUACCUGCAGGAAGAGAAAAUAAGAAUGAUUUUCUGAGUAGCGGCGAGCGAAAGGGAAAGAGCCCAAACCGAUCUGAGGAUCGGGGUAGUAGGAUCAUCGAUAAAUCAAACAGAGGAUCAUAGAGGAAUCACAUGGGAAGGUGAGCGAGAGAGGGUGAGAGCCCCGUACUCGAAAUGAGAGACUGGAGAGAGAUGACACCUGAGUAGGGCGGGACACGAGAAAUCCUGUCUGAAUCAGCCGGGACCAUCCGGCAAGGCUAAAUACGAGAGAGUGACCGAUAGUGAACCAGUACCGUGAGGGAAAGGUGAAAAGAACCCCGGGAGGGGAGUGAAAGAGAACCUGAAACCAUAUGCCUACAAGAAGUCAGAGCCCGUUAAAGGGUGAUGGCGUGCCUUUUGUAGAAUGAACCGGCGAGUUACUGUAUGGAGCGAGGUUAAGCAGGAUAUGCGGAGCCGAAGCGAAAGCGAGUCUUAAGAGGGCGCGAGUUGCAUGCAGUAGACCCGAAACCGGGUGAUCUAGCCAUGACCAGGUUGAAGUUGGGGUAAAACCCGAUGGAGGACCGAACCGACCCCCGUUGAAACGUUGGCGGAUGAGUUGUGGCUAGGGGUGAAAUUCCAAUCGAACCCGGAGAUAGCUGGUUCUCCCCGAAAUAGCUUUAGGGCUAGCGUCGAGAGAAGAGUUGCGUGAAGGUAGAGCACUGAAUAUGUGAUGGCCCCAUCUCGGGGUACUGAGCAUAAUCAAACUGCGAAUGUCACGCCAACAUGCUCGGCAGUCAGACAGCGGGUGAUAAGGUCCGUUGUCAAGAGGGAAACAGCCCAGACCAUCAGCUAAGGUCCCAAAAUGUAUGCUAAGUGGAAAAGGAUGUGGAGAUGUACAGACAACUAGGAGGUUGGCUCAGAAGCAGCCAUCCUUUAAAGAGUGCGUAACAGCUCACUAGUCGAAUGACUCUGCGCCGAUAAUUUACCGGGGCUAAGCAUACUACCGAAGCUAUGGAUCCCAAGGGAUGGUAGGGGAGCGUUCCAUGAACGGAGAAGUACGACCGAAAGGACGUGUGGAGAUCAUGGAAGAGAGAAUGCCGGUGUGAGUAGCGGAACGUGGGUGAGAAUCCCACGCACCGAAAACCCAAGGUUUCCAGAGGAAGGUUCGUCCGCUCUGGGUAAGUCGGGACCUAAGGCGAGGCCGAAAGGCGUAGUCGAUGGACAACAGGUAGAGAUUCCUGUACCCGUAUAUAUGUGAAGGAAUGACGGAGAGAGGAAGCUGCAGCCAGCGGCUGGAAGAGCUGGUGCAAGCGAGAUAUCGGGAUGGCAGGCAAAUCCACCAUCCGAAACGAGAAGGCGUGAAGCGUACGGAAAGCUACGGCGAGUACGGAAGGCAGUGGAGGAACUUCCAAGAAAAGUUUCUAACGUUAAGUAUAUAUGGCCCGUACCGAAAAUGGACACACAUGGGUGAGGAGAGAAUCCUAAGGUGAGCGAGAGAACUAUAGCUAAGGAACUCUGCAAAAUGACUCCGUAACUUAGGGAGAAGGAGUGCUCAUAGAGAUAUGAGCCGCAGUGAAACGGCCCAAGCGACUGUUUACCAAAAACACAGCUCUCUGCUAAGCCGCAAGGCGAAGUAUAGGGGGUGACGCCUGCCCGGUGCUGGAAGGUUAAGGGGAGGGGUUAACGCAAGUGAAGCCCUGAACUGAAGCCCCAGUAAACGGCGGCCGUAACUAUAACGGUCCUAAGGUAGCGAAAUUCCUUGUCAGGUAAG
rnacentral:rRNA from 2 species